UCGUGGAGUGAUCUGUCUGGUUAAUUCCGAUAACGAGCGAGACCCACGCCUGCUAAAUAGUCGGGCGCUCCUCGGAGGCGCUCGCUAGACUUCUUAGAGGGAUUCGCGACGAACCGUAGUCGUGUGAAAGUGGGCGAUAACA
rnacentral:rRNA from 1 species